rnacentral:rRNA from 1 species
UACGUAGGCAGCAAGCGUUGUUCGGAGUUACUGGGCGUAAAGGGUGCGUAGGCGGUUGUUUAAGUUUGGUGUGAAAUCUCCCGGCUCAACUGGGAGGGUGCGCCGAAUACUGAAUGACUAGAGUGCGGGAGAGGAUAGUGGAAUUCUUGGUGUAGCGGUGAAAUGCGUAGAUAUCAAGAGGAACACCUGAGGUGAAGACGGGUUGCUGGGCUGACACUGACGCUGAGGCGCGAAAGCUAGGGGAGCAAACGGGG